GACGGGGGAUGCGAGCGUUAUCCGGAAUGAUUGGGCGUAAAGGGUCCGCAGGUGGCCCGGUCAGUCCGCUGUCAAAGCCUGGGGCUCAACCCUGGAGAGGCGGCGGAGACCACCGGGCUUGAGUCCGGUAGGGGCAGAGGGAAUUCCCGGUGUAGAGGUGAAAUUCGUAGAUAUCGGGAGGAACACCGGUGGCGAAGGCGGCGACCUGGGUCGAUACUGACGCUGAGGUGCGAAAGCGUGGGGAGCAAACAGG
rnacentral:rRNA from 1 species